rnacentral:misc_RNA from 1 species
AUGGAACAACAGGAAGAGGAUGAAGCUGAAAGUUGGGAAUCUGGUUUUUCUGACGAUGGUUCCCUAGAGCAGGUCCCACGGAAAAAACGUAGUGUUGAGUCCAUUGUUCAAGAAUUUCAUACUGCUAGGCUGGAAGCUAUUCAUGCAAAAGAGCGCGGUGACAAAAAGGGCCAGGAACAAGCCAGCCGAAUCAUUCGGAAGAUCAAGCAGGAGAUAUCUUCUCUAGG